ACCGAAAUAUGCCUUACAGCUCAAGGGAUGAUAUCUUUUCGGCUGGUGCAAUGGAAAAUCCCGGUGCGGGUGCUGCUUACCAGCUGGCGCUAGUGGUAACUGAGUGCUUUUGCUUUUGCCCCAAUACCUGAGAAUUUAUUGCUUAUGUAUCUAGUCAUUUCAUGGAUUUGGACGCGGGGCACGGUUGAGCAUGGCUUGGACAGGGUAAAUGGGUUUGUCAAUUGAGGUUACAUUUGCUGAGCACAAAGUGGUUAGUUAGAAAUAGGUAGGGUUAGAUAAUUCAGCCAAGUUAAAGGGGUAUACUAUGUAGAGCUUGGGUUUGGAACCAACAUCAUUCAUAGUAUGUACCUCUAGAGGCUGUCAACCUUGUUUUAUUGUCUCAUCCUGUCCCAUUCUGUCCCAUGGAAAGGACAUACCGUUGAACAAUGUUUGAAUUUUCAGCCG
rnacentral:sRNA from 1 species